rnacentral:rRNA from 1 species
GGGACACGUGGUAUCCUGUCUGAAUAUGGGGGGACCAUCCUCCAAGGCUAAAUACUCCUGACUGACCGAUAGUGAACCAGUACCGUGAGGGAAAGGCGAAAAGAACCCCGGCGAGGGGAGUGAAAAAGAACCUGAAACCGUGUACGUACAAGCAGUGGGAGCACGCUUAGGCGUGUGACUGCGUACCUUUUGUAUAAUGGGUCAGCGACUUAUAUUCUGUAGCAAGGUUAACCGAAUAGGGGAGCCGAAGGGAAACCGAGUCUUAACUGGGCGUUAAGUUGCAGGGUAUAGACCCGAAACCCGGUGAUCUAGCCAUGGGCAGGUUGAAGGUUGGGUAACACUAACUGGAGGACCGAACCGACUAAUGUUGAAAAAUUAGCGGAUGACUUGUGGCUGGGGGUGAAAGGCCAAUCAAACCGGGAGAUAGCUGGUUCUCCCCGAAAGCUAUUUAGGUAGCGCCUCGUGAAUUCAUCUCCGGGGGUAGAGCACUGUUUCGGCAAGGGGGUCAUCCCGACUUACCAACCCGAUGCAAACUGCGAAUACCGGAGAAUGUUAU